GCGACUUCAAAACUAAGGAACCGGCUGACGAUGAGCGCAGGCUUAACGAGAACUUCAAACUAGGUCAGGACUGAACUGAGACCAAGCAACAAAUCAACAGUGACCUUGUGUUUCUCCAAAAAGUCAGACCAGAAAUUCAUGUGAACGCAAUGAAGUGGGAAGGUGAAACAUCACAACUCAAAGCUCCAAACAGUCACAGGGCACAUGAAUGCAGCAUUACUUAGUGAAGAUGAUGUUUUUGCAGUAAUGAUGCUGUCACACAUUUUUUGUGGUGGCGAUCUGCACCACCACCACCUAAAUCAAAA